ensembl:snRNA U1 U1 spliceosomal RNA
AAACUUACCUCAUAGAGGAGAUACCAUGAUCAUGAAGGUUGUUUUCCCAGGAUUAUCCAUCAAGGAAGCUUAACCAUGUCAUUCCUGAGAUUUCCCCAAAUGUAGGAAACUUAACUGUGUAAUAUUUUGGUAGUGGGCAACAAUAGUCAUAACUUUCCUCU